UAAUUCCCCAAAGAAAUUAAGACAUGUGCUAU
rnacentral:piRNA from 1 species